ACAAAAAAGAAUCAUUUUAAUAACAAGGAUAAAUUUGUAAACUUACAAUAAACCAUCCUCACAAAUUCACUCUAUCAUCCCUCAAUCCAAACAACCUCACAUAUUCUCACUCAUCCUCUCUAAUCCUCACAAAUCCACUCCCUCCCAUCUUCACAAAUCUCCUCCUCAAUCCAAACAGAGCCUACGAGAAGUGAAAAAAUUACUGAACCCGCUCGCUCGUCCGCACCCACGCCUUCACAUGCCCUGAUCCAAACAAAAGUUCUUCCCGCUCGUCCCUUCCUCCUCCGUUAUCACACCUAAAAGCAAACAGAGUGUAAAAGAUAAGGGAAAACUUUAUUUUGACACUUAAAAUAAAAUAAAGAUAAAUAAUACUACACUUACUUUACAAUCCAUUAUAAUAAUAUAUUUAAAAUUUAAGUUAAAAAAAUAUAAAUAUAAGUAAAAUAUAACCACACGUGAAACCCGUGGGAAAAGUGCAACAAAAACACCUCUUAUCACAAAGAAAAUGACACUUAUAAGUUGUAUAUAAUUUUUGAUGUAAUAGAUUUAAAAAUAAAUAUAUAAUAAAGAGUAAAUUUAAAAAAUAAUAAAAUAAUAAUAUCGAAAGUUAUAAUGUGAUUAUGUGAAAAGUAUGACUUAUGAACUUUUAUCCUAGAUAAAUCAAGGAAGAUACUUCACUUUUUCUCUCUCAUUUACUUUCCAACUCUAUUUAAUAAUAAAAUAUUUUAUCUAAUUAAUAAAAUAAUUUUUCAAAACAAAAUAAUAAUAUUAUUAGUUUAAGGUGUGUGUAUGAAAAAAUUAAUGAUACAUGAAAAAUCCUUUCCAUUUUUUAUCUUUUUUAUACAAUCACAUUAUAAUUUUUAAUAUUAUUAUUUUAAUAUUUUUUUAUAUCAUUUAAUUACAAAUUUAUCAUUUAUUAUAUAUUAUAUAUAUUUAUAUCUAAAUCAAACCGUGAAAAAGUAUACCGAAUCUUGUUCUUUAAAUUCAACAAACAUGUUCCAACACACAACAACCACUGCUCUGUUAUCUUAUAUCUCUUCCUGGUGUGGAGAACAACUGUGAUGGAGCCCGAGACUUUUGUAGCACUGGUAGCUGGUGUCACAGGGAUGGCUGG
rnacentral:lncRNA from 1 species